CCUACGGGGGGCAGCAGUGGGGAAUAUUGGACAAUGGGGGCAACCCUGAUCCAGCCAUGCCGCGUGUGUGAAGAAGGCCCUCGGGUUGUAAAGCACUUUCAGUGAGGAAGAACGCCUGGUGGUUAAUACCCAGCAGGAAAGACAUCACUCACAGAAGAAGCACCGGCUAACUCCGUGCCAGCAGCCGCGGUAAUACGGAGGGUGCGAGCGUUAAUCGGAAUUACUGGGCGUAAAGCGCGCGUAGGUGGCUUGAUAAGCCGGUUGUGAAAGCCCCGGGCUCAACCUGGGAACGGCAUCCGGAACUGUCAAGCUAGAGUGCAGGAGAGGAAGGUAGAAUUCCCGGUGUAGCGGUGAAAUGCGUAGAGAUCGGGAGGAAUACCAGUGGCGAAGGCGGCCUUCUGGACUGACACUGACACUGAGGUGCGAAAGCGUGGGUAGCAAACAGGAUUAGAUACCCUUGUAGUC
rnacentral:rRNA from 1 species